GACGAACGCUGGCGGCGUGCUUAACACAUGCAAGUCGAACGGAAAGGCCCUGCUUUUGUGGGGUGCUCGAGUGGCGAACGGGUGAGUAACACGUGAGUAACCUUCCCUUGACUUUGGGAUAACUUCAGGAAACUGGGGCUAAUACCGGAUAGGAGCUCCUGCUGCAUGGUGGGGGUUGGAAAGUUUCGGCGGUUGGGGAUGGACUCGCGGCUUAUCAGCUUGUUGGUGGGGUAGUGGCUUACCAAGGCUUUGACGGGUAGCCGGCCUGAGAGGGUGACCGGCCACAUUGGGACUGAGAUACGGCACAGACUCCUACGGGAGGCAGAAGUGGGGAAUAUUGAACAAUGGGCGGAAGCCUGAUGCAGCAACGCCGCGUGCGGGAUGACGGCCUUCGGGUUGUAAACCGCUUUCGCCUGUGACGAAGCGUGAGUGACGGUAAUGGGUAAAGAAGCACCGGCUAACUACGUG
rnacentral:rRNA from 1 species